rnacentral:tRNA from 1 species
GGGUUGUAGCUCAGUGGUAGAGCACUCACUUAGCAUGUGUGAGGCACUGGUUUGAUUCCCAGCACCA